CACGUAGGGCGCAAGCGUUGUCCGGAAUUAUUGGGCGUAAAGAGCUCGUAGGCGGUUCGGCAAGUCGGAUGUGAAAUCUCCACGCUUAACGUGGAGGGGCCAUUCGAAACUGCUGUGACUCGAGUCCGGUAGGGGAGUGUGGAAUUCCUAGUGUAGAAGUGAAAUUCGUAGAUAUUAGGAGGAACACCGGUGGCGAAGGCGGCUAUCUGGCUGAAUACUGACGCUGUUGCACGAAAGCGUGGGGAGCAAACAGG
rnacentral:rRNA from 1 species